AAAAAAAAACAACCAUUUCUUCUUCUAUAAAUAGUCAUGAAAUCCGUAUGAGAAACCAUCAUUAAAACUGGUUAGUAUCAUCACAAAAUCGCCUGAAAAUCCGAGGCAAAAGUCAUUUAUUGAAGGUCCGAUUGCCGUCGAGUUUGAGAUCGUCCGAGUUCCGUUCGUUAGCUUUAGUUCUGAUUCUCUGUUUUCGAUUGGAUUCAAUAUCCUCUACUGUACGAGCUGUAUAUAUUGGAAAGGUUUUAUCGCUUGAGGUCCGUUUCUUUUUCCUUCACUGUUUUGCUUGUAAUCAUGCUCUUUUAGCCUUCAUUAGCCUUCUAGCAAUGUGCUGAUUGAGUUUUUGUGUUAGUUCGUUGCAAAGAUAGAAGCCCGUGAUGACUUAUAUUGAUAUCCUUUUAAUGAUUCAAAGUACGAGGGCCUGACCUAUAUCAUUAAAUAUUUUGGUAAUGUUUGUUCUAUUUUAAACUAAGAAUUUGGGGUUUUAGUUACUGUUAUUAUCAUCUCUGUUUCAUAGGAGAACCAAUAGAGUUAUAUGAUUAUCCCUCAAUAUGGUAGUAUUAGUAAAUUUUUCUGUUUUAACCAUGGCCCCUUUUAUCAUUGUUAGAUGCUAUUUUAUAUAGUGAAGUAGGUGACGUAGGCUGAUAUUAUGUUGAUAAUAAUGACCAUCAUACAAUGAGAAAGGUUAAUUUUGCCUUUUCAACCUCGGUGUUCAUUGGAUUAUUUUAUAUCAAAGAAGUUUUGUUUAUUCCAUGUUCACAUUAUUUCUCUUUCUGUUACACUAUUAAAGCAUGAAUGUGAAUAAGUUUCAUAAUAAUUUUUGAUUCCUUGAGUUAUACCCUUCUUAUUUGGAAUAAAGCUGGAAAUAGCCAUUUAAAAUUGAGGUUGUCUUCUCGUAGUGACGUCUUUAAGGUUAGAGUGAAAUGAAUUUGUUAUUUUGAUUUUUUUUUUUGGGUGUUUGUACUAUUGCCUCUGAGAUACCUUUAAUUUGAGGCAUGUGAAAGAUAGAGUUAAGAAAAGACAUCGUGUUUAUUGGCCUUCUUUUGAGCCAAGGAGUGACGUUAACAAUUUAAUUGUCGUUUUCUUCAAAGUUUCGCAAUAAGACUUAAUGUGUGAUGGUUUAUUAAGAAGAAACAAAACCUUGUUCAUUAAUGGGUUAAAAUAUCUAUUAGCUCCAAUAUCGUUAUCCAUGCCCCAAACUACAGACUAUUCUGUAACGAUCAUGUAAUGUGUUUGGUUACGUAAAUUGUUUUAGUGAUUAAUCUAUAUCCCUUCCCUAAAUUUCCAUAAUCCAUGACCUCACAAGCAAUCUCAAACUAGUUUUAGAAUAGUAAUUUAUGAACACGUUAGAAAAGUUUUAGACACACUUUAAAUAUUAGCCCACGUGUUCAUACCCGAACCUUGGAUUGAUAUGCUUAAAUAAUAAAAGGAUCAUGUGCGCAUUCCGUGUCUUGAUGCCUUUAAAUUUAAAAUAAUUAUGUUAUAACCAUGUGUACGUUCCGUACCUUGGUUUAACAUUUAAUUCCAAAGAAGUACCUUGUGUGCGUACCGCAUCUUGGUGAACACAAUUAAAAAAUAAAAAAAUAAUAAUAAUAAUAUAAUAAUUAAUUAAGUGAUAAUAGGCAAACCAUAACCAGUACAAUACAAGAAUAGCCAAAAAUUGAUUUAAGCCGGACAUAAGUCAAUAAAAGCAACCGUGCUAGAACCACGGGACUCGAGGGGUGCCUCACACCUUCCCCUCGGUCAAUAGAAUUUCUUAUUCAAUCUUCUGUUUUCGUAGACCAUAAAUAAGGAGUCAAAUCUUUCGUUUGAUGAGGGAUUCAAAUAAAAGGUGACUUGGAACACCAAAACUCAAUUCCAAGUGGCGACUCCAAAUAAUAAAUAACCCCUUUUCAAAUCGUCACUUUAAUUGAAAAAACUCUUCUAACUUAGCCUCGUAAUAAGGGUUGCGGGAAAAAAGAAGUGUGACAGCUCUGGCGACUCUGCUGGGAUAACUACUAAUAAGAAUUUGAGCUUUAUAUAUUGAUUCUUGUUUGGCUUUUAUCAUGCUUUGGAUAUUAUUGUGUUUGGAAGCCUAAUGUGCUAUUUGUCACUUAUUUACCGCUUUAAUAUUUAUGUGAACUGUGAUAUAAAUUGUAUCAUCUCUCGCACCCCUCCGAGUCUUCUGAUAGGUAGUUAUGUUGUGUUUGCCUACCAGCAUCGCAAAAUUUCUAUCUUGAGAUAAAGCCAGUUAGCCUACCAGCUUCUGGUAAAGGAUUUAGUCACACAUGUUUAGGCGGGAGAGCCGUUAGCUAGCCAGUGUUGUUCUACUACUGGUGACGCUUGACGCUCCUCGGCUCGGGUCGUCCACUCUGGUAAGCCAGGUCUAGAUACCAUCUCCUUUAGGAUUUGAAAACUUAGAAGAACAAGCCACCAGCAAUGAAUAUCCCUAGUAGGCUACGCUUUAUUUGUAUCAUAUGCAUUGGACUUAGCGGGACUCGGCACAGGGGUCGGGCCAGUAUAGGACAAGUACCAAUUUUUUAAACCAACAUGUUCAUUUUUCUAUGCUACAUGUAACAUUAUUUGGUAGGCUUUACUGAAAUGUUGACCGGCUUUAGGAUAGAUUGAUUGAACAGGGAAGAGAGAAAGAGAAAAUUUCCUCAAAAUUUUCAUAAAUACCCUUCUUUUUUAAAAAAAAUAAAAUUUUGAGGGGUUCUAAUGUGUAAAAUCACAAUUUUCAAAAUGGUUUUUAUUUAUUUAGAUCGAGCUACGCGGGUUUGAUUCUCACCGGAUGUGAGAUACGUAGGCAACCUUCAUCAGGUUUAACCCCCCUCCUCCCUCCCCCCCCCCCCAAAAAAAAAGUGUCUAUGGACUAUUAUUGUUUUUUUUCAAACAAUAAUAAUAAUAAUAAUAUAGUCACUUUGUCAGUUUUAUCUCUUUUGACUAGUUUUGUCCUUGCGUCCGGUUCUUUUAUCGAAAUAGCCUUGAAACCUUCCUUAGAAAUGCGAAAUGGUCGUUUUAACAAAAGAGGCCAAUUUUUUUUUUCUCUGUUCACUUAUUUUUACGAAAAAAUAGUCAUUUUGAGCCUUUUAUUUUUUAAUUUCAUGAUUAUUUUACUAAUGUAAUUAAUUUUUUUUCCCAGAGUUUGGCUUUUAUUUUUAUAGAGUCAAAACCCAAGAAAUCAGAUUUUUUGUGUCAAUAAUAUAUUUGAUUAAAGUCUAACCUCGUGUCUGGGUAAACAGGUACACCAUGAGUGGGGAAAGAGGUAAAUCUGAAAAGAGGCCCAGAUCAGAAGGGAUACCGGAUUUUCUGAUUGUCGAUCAGAUACCACAGUUGUUGUGGGAUUAG
rnacentral:lncRNA from 1 species